rnacentral:misc_RNA from 1 species
UCGUACCAAAUGUGUGAGGCGUGCAAGGGCUGUCGCUGACUUCCAAAGUCGUGCACGCCGGAGCGUGUCCUCUCACAUAACAAUCCAUCUCACCCUUUGUGCACCACCGCGUGGGCACCCUUUGGGAUCUCACGACCUCGGAGGGUGGCUCGCGUUUUCACACAAAAAACCAAACCCCCCUUUGAAAAGUGUAGAACGACCUCAUUUACGCAAUAAAUAC